UCGAGGAUCAUUCGCAAUGCGCGAAAGCGUGACGGUGCGACGCCGCGUGCAGGAUGACGGCCUUCGGGUUGUAAACUGCUGACAGGAGGGAGCAACGGGCGGGAUACUAAUACUAUCUCGCAGUGAUAGUACCUCCAGAGGAAGCCACGGCUAACUCUGUGCCAGCAGCCGCGGUAAUACAGAGGCGGCGAGCGUUGUUCGGAUUUACUGGGCGUAAAGGGUGCGUAGGCGGUUCUGCAUGUCGGAUG
rnacentral:rRNA from 1 species